rnacentral:rRNA from 1 species
UCCAGUUGAUCCUGCUGGAGACUACUGCUCUUGGGGUUCGAUUUAGCCAUGCAUGUCCAAGGAGUGCUUGUACUCCUGGCAAAAAGCUCAGUAACACGUGGACAACCUGCCCUCUGGAGGGGGAUAACCUCGGGAAACUGAGGAUAAUACCCCAUAGUCGACAAGUACUGGAAUGUCUGUCGUCGAAACGAUUUUUCGCCAGAGGAUGGGUCUGCGGUGGAUUAGGUAUGGUGGGGGUAAUGGCCCCCCAUGCUGACGAUCCGUACCGGCUAUGAGAGUAGGAGCCGGGAGAUGGAUACUGAGACAAGGAUCCAGGUUCUACGGAAUGCAGCAGGCGCGAAAACUUCGCAAUGCGCGAAAGCGUGACGAGUGAACCCCGAGUGUGGGCCGACAAGGUCUGCUUUUCCUAAGUGUAAACAGCUUGGGGAAUAAGGGCUGGGCAAGACUGGUGCCAGCCUCCGCGGUAACACCAGCAGCUCGAGUGGUAGUCGUUUUUAUUGGGCUUAAAGCGUUCGUAGUCGGUCCUGCAAGUCCUCUGUGAAAUCCAGAUGCUCAACGUCUGGGCGUGCAGAGGAUACUGCCGGACUUGGAGCCGGGAAGGGCGAGGGGUAUUCCUUAGGUAGCGGUGAAAUGCUAUAAUCUUGGGAAGACCACCGGUGGCGAAGGCGCCUCGCUGGAACGGGCUCGACGAUGAGGAACGAGAGCUAGGGGAGCGAAUCGGAUUAGAUACCCGAGUAGUCCUAGCUGUAAACGAUGCGGACUGAGUGUAACGGAAACCUCGUGUUUCCGUUUUGCUGUAGGGAAACCGUUAAGUCCGCCGCCUGGGGAGUACGGUCGCAAGGCUGAAACUUAAAGGAAUUGGCGGGGGAGCACCACAAGGCGUGGAGUCUGCGGUUUAAUUGGAUACAACGCCGGGAAACUCACCAGGGGCGACGGCAGUAUGAGGGCCAGGCUGAUGGUCUUGCCCGACGAGCCGAGAGGUAGUGCAUGGCCGUCGUCAGCUCGUACCGUGAGGCGUGCGGUUAAGUCCGUUAACGAGCAAGACCCGUACCCCUAUUUGCUACCUAUCCAGUUCGCUGGGUAGGGCACUAUAGGGGGACCGCUGGCGAUGAGUCAGAGGAAGGCGCGGGCGACGGUAGGUCUGUAUGCUCCGAAUCUCCUGGGCUACACGUGGACUACAAUGGCGUAAACAAUGGGUCGCAACACCGAAAGGUGCGAGCUAAUCCUCAAAUUACGCCCAAGUUCGGAUCGAGGGUUGCAACUCACCCUCGUGAAGCUGAAAUGCCUAGUAAUCGCUGGUCACCAUCUAGCGGUGAAUAUGUCCCCGCUCCUUGCACACACCGCCCGUCAAACCAACCGAGUGGAUUAAAGGUGAGGCUUGCUUAACUUAAGUGAGUCGAAUCUUUUUUCCGCAAGGGGGGUUAAGUCGUAACAAGGUA